CCUACGGGCGGCUGCAGUGGGGAAUAUUGGACAAUGGGGGCAACCCUGAUCCAGCCAUGCCGCGUGUGUGAAGAAGGCCCUCGGGUUGUAAAGCACUUUCAGUGAGGAAGAACGCCUGGUGGUUAAUACCCAUCAGGAAAGACAUCACUAACAGAAGAAGCACCGGCUAACUCCGUGCCAGCAGCCGCGGUAAUACGGAGGGUGCGAGCGUUAAUCGGAAUUACUGGGCGUAAAGCGCGCGUAGGUGGCUUGAUAAGCCGGUUGUGAAAGCCCCGGGCUCAACCUGGGAACGGCAUCCGGAACUGUCAAGCUAGAGUGCAGGAGAGGAAGGUAGAAUUCCCGGUGUAGCGGUGAAAUGCGUAGAGAUCGGGAGGAAUACCAGUGGCGAAGGCGGCCUUCUGGACUGACACUGACACUGAGGUGCGAAAGCGUGGGUAGCAAACAGGAUUAGAUACCCUAGUAGUC
rnacentral:rRNA from 1 species